rnacentral:rRNA from 1 species
GACGUAGGGGGCAAGCGUUGUCCGGAAUCAUUGGGCGUAAAGCGCUCGUAGGUGGAUCGGUAAGUCUGCAAAGAAAGACCCGGGCUCAACUCGGGGAACGGUGUGGAUACUACCGAUCUUGAGGCAAUCAGAGGAUGAUGGAAUUCCCGGUGUAGCGGUGAAAUGCGUAGAUAUGCGGAGGAACACCGAUGGCGAAGGCAAUCCCCUGGGCCUGCACUGACGCUCAUGCACGAAAGCGUGGGGAGCAAACAGG